UGUCAUGUCGCACUGUUUCUUCGUUAUAGUUAUUAUUUUGAAGUUUAGAGAAUGAGGUUCAUUAUUCUAGGACUAGGAGCAAAUUGGGUUAUUGCCUUUAGCCUGUAGGUUUUUUAAGGAUUCGUUACUGUUUUAUACGGGAUUAUUAUUUUUGGUUUCUGGUUUUCAACGGGCGGCCUCAGCGUCCACUUGUCUUUGCUCCCAUCAAAUUUCUUUGCUGGAACACUUUCAUCCGUUUCUUGCAGCUUCGGACUUUGACCGCAUUAUUCAUAUAUUUUAUUAUGGCAAAAAGAAGAUGUGUGCUUUCAACGGAAGAUGGCUCAGACGGCUCUGUGACAACUUCAAGACGUUUAUUGUUUAGUUUACCUACUCCAUCAGCAACUGAUAUGGCUACGCCAAUUAUCUUUGGCCCUGAGUGUUCACAUGCUCUAACUACUCAGUCGAGAAGUUUG